UAUUGUAAGCUUUGCGAACGUUAUAUUUAUGUUGGAGAAACAGGGGAUACGUUGUACCAAAGACACCUUCUUAAUUUAUCCAGAAUACGAACCAAAUACAACGAUCCGUUAGCGGCGCAUUUUUACACGAACGACCACACAGUAAAUGAUUUUUGGGGGCGCAAGCCCCCAAUGUAAUUACGAUAAAUUCAGCUUACUACCUUCUGAACGCGUUUAGGCUAUCUAGCUGCGCUGAGCAAAAAUAGUUCCAAUAUUUUGCCAUAAUAUUCAGAUCAUCAUAAUACCUUAUCUAAUUUAAAAUUGACUGGUCAUUCUAUUACUUAAUUUUAAAUCCUUUUAUCACAAAAUUACAAAUACCAUUGCUUUACGCGAUUUGAAUAUUACUACGCUAGCAGUCGAUAAAAAUUUAAUGAGAACCAGUUUAUUUGUUCUACCUUCUGGUUCCCGAUGCAUGAGAGCCAAAGUACUUGCAAAAAUUUGGUGCCAAUUUUAUCAAGUCAUAAAUUAACUAACUAUCAUAGAACACAAUAAUUCAGGAAGAUGGAAAACGAUUUUCAAAUUAGAUAACUUUCAACAGUUGCAAGCUUAAAAUGGUUAAAAAGUGUGAAUGACAGAGUAAAAAUUUGUAUGCGUAUGAAUACGAACUAUUUUCCCUCUGACGUCAUUUUCCCGAAAUCGCCAUCUUGGUCAGUUAUUCCGAGAAAAGGUUGAGAAGAUCUGCUAUCAAUAUAGGAAGUCACAGCUAUUGCGUUGAUAUUUUGGUUGCAAUCAAUUCCAUCUUGGUGUAUUGUCUUCAUACUUGGCCACAACAACCCUUCAAAUAGACCAGACUAAACUUGACCUCCAUAUAAACAUUCAAGAUGGUCGGCCUACAUGUCAGAUUUGUAAAUGUGAACGGCACGAUAUCGAUUUUAAGAAUGCUUUAGGGUCAAUGAGGAUGAAAUAAAAUGUGAGACUGUCAAUCUGACAAACCUUGCAGUGAAUAAAUGGAAACAGUGGCGUUUGUAUGAUAGAACAGUAAUAGCAGGAGUGAUAAGGACAGAUGCAUGUAGAUGUGUCUUCAUGUCGGAAACACUAGAGAAAUUGACACAUUUGGGUUUUAUCAAAAUUAAAGGAAUUGGAAUACCAGGAGACUGCUUGCCAUUUGCAAUGUUGGAAUGUGUGAUGUCGAAAGCCUCAUGAAUAUAGUAACUUGACUUUAUUAAUCUAAUAAGAAAAAGAAAAGACAUUGAGGUGAAAACUAGUCACCAGUCUUUCACCAAGAACAUGAGAUAACUUUCCAAUAUUUGAAAUAUCAUAAUAUGUAUAGAACUUGAAUGAGCGACAUAAUAUGUAUUGAUAUUGAAUGAGCGACCAGUUUUUCACCAGGAAAAUAAGAUCACUUAUCUAUUUUUGAAAUAUGUAUGAACAUAACUCUAUCAACUUCAAGGUGAGAGUUUAUCAUGAAGAACAUGAGAUAACUUGUGUAUGAACAGAACCACAUUUGAAUAUAGAGGCGCCAGUUCAUCACCAAGAAGAUGAGCUAACUUAUCAAUGUUUGAAAUCUGUUAUACCCCCGCACAACAAAGUUGUAAGGGGGCUAUACUGGAAUCAGCUUGUCCGGCCGUCGGGCGUCAGUCGCUUUUUUCUUGUCCGUCCAUAAAAUUAAGAUUCCUUUGACCCACAGUCUUCAUAUUUGGCAUGGAGUUAAGUCAUGAUUAGUAGAUGACCUCCAUUAAUUUUGAGAACACCAAGUCAAAGGUCAAGGUCACAGGGGUCUUGACUGAAGAAAGCUUUCCUGCCCAAUAACUUAAGAAUCCUUCGACCCACAGUCUUCAUAUUUGGCAUGGAGGUUAGUCAUGAUUAGUAGAUGACCCCUAUUUAUUUUCAGGUCUAAGGUCAUGGUCACAGGGGCCUUGGCUAAUUAAAGCUUGUCUGCCCAAUUACCUAAGAAUCCUUAGACCCAUAGUCUUAAUUUUUGGCAUGGAGGUUAGUCAAGAUUAGUAGAAUACCCCUAUUGAUUUUGAGGUUACUGGGGCAAAAGUCAAGGUCACAGGGGCUUUUAUUACAAUUAGCUUGUCUGCUCAAAUGGUCUCAUAUAUUCAUCAUAAAACACCUCCAGGCAAGGCUGCAUGAAAUGGGGGGGUUAUUGAAGUCAUUCAAUGGCAGUUUUAGUUUUGAGGUCAGUAGGUCCAAGGUAAAGUUCACUUUGAUCUUUUCUACUAAAACAUGUAGAAUAUAUAACUUAGCAAUGCACUGGCUUACUUCCCUCAGAUUUGGCUGAGCUGUAAAUGACUACUGUUGAUUCUGACAAAUUGGUAUGUGGGGGUAUUCACGCCAUGACAAUGGCAGUUCUAGUUUGUACAGAAAAUAUCAAGAUGCAAGUUUCUUUUAUUAAGAAUAGACUUAUUGAUUAGAUAACUUACAAUAUUUACAAACAUUUAUAAUACCAAACCCAUUUAAAGUAUUUCAGCUGAGAGUGUAUUAUCCAAAAUACAUGUAUUGUUAUAAUGUACUUUAUAGUAUAUUUAUUGAUAUAUUUAUUGUAAAGUUUUGAUUCUACUAGAUUUUAAAAACAUUUAGAUUUUACUUGAUCUUGAAAAUAUUUUGUUCCAUGCUCUUUCAUUUAAUUUUGAAUAAUGAAUCCAAUAAAUACCUAUAAUAAGUAUAGGAUUAAAAUUGAUAAUGUUUUCUAUCUUUAACUUAUAUAAAAAAAGUAAUGUUUAAACUGUUGGUUAGAUUUCAAACAGAACUAAACAGGGGUGUACAGUGCCAUCCUUAGUUGUGCACAUUGUUGGCAUGUUCUCAUCGUCGGAUAUACAUGGCCGAACCAUUAAUAUUCAUCAUUGAUUGCAUGUUAUGUGACAUGUUUAUCAAUUGUGGGUAUCCAACGAUGGCAGCCAUGUCCUGUUUCUCUGCACAAAAUGGCCGAAGAGUUGAAAAAAGAAAAAUCUAUCACAUGUACAACUGCCAAAAUUCAAAAGAGUGAUCAGAACCAUACACAGUUUUGGGAGACAUGUUUUUGUGACAAAAGCCCUUCAAGUUCAUAUAUGACCUUGACCUUUAUUUGAUAUAAAAUAUCUUUGGAGUUAGCUGGAAUUGUCAUUACUUUGUUAUUUUUUACAGAUUUGAAUCAUGCUUGAACAAACAAACACAGAACCAACAUGUUGAAUUUUUUCUGAUAUAUUUUGACCUUUAAAUGACCAUUACCUCCAAGGUUAAACAAUUGAAAUUCACUCACAUUGUCAUAACUUUGUUUUUGUCUAUGAUUUGAUUCAUUCUUGGACAAAAGAACAAUUAUCAUUCAACUAUGACCUUUACUAUUCAAAUUUGAAAUUUACUUUAUACAUUUAUAUUAUGUUUUCUAGGAGUACUCUAAUAGAUAUUACAAUAUUCUCCUACUGAUGUGUUUGACUUUCAAUAUAAGAAAAAGCCAAGCAUGGCCCAAGCUAGAUAGUGGCUCUUGUUUUCAAUGCCAACUUGAUUAUAUGUAUCCAUUCCAAUUUACAUUCUCACAUGUAUUAUCUAUUGUGCUUGAAAGGUUUCUACAAAAAAUAAGUUUGUUCUUACAGUCCUGGUUUUAUUUUAGAAAUAUUUUAUAGACAGUUAAAUUUUCUGUUUAUUUUCUAUCUGCAUAAUCAUUUCUUGGAAUAAAUAUAGUAAGUACACUGA